AUGGGAUCUAUGAUGGUUUUCAGAGAUUGCAUUAUCUAUCUGUAGUUUCUUCAAAGGAGUUGAAGAUAAUCGUAAUUGACUGAGAUCUUGC
rfam:Glycine max cultivar Williams 82 chromosome 7, whole genome shotgun sequence.